GCCGGGUCGGCUGUGAAAUACCGCUGACCACCCUUGACAGUCGUAACAUCGACAUAUACAGCGUCCAUGACCAACCCUCACACUCCUUCUGCCUUCGCAUCAUCAUCCGCAUCGCGACUUCGUCUUCAUCUCCAACUCAUGCUCCGACUCAUAAACUCUCCUUGGCCUCUGAACCCAAGGACAACUUUGGCUCCACCCAGCCCUUCUUCUCAAAACAAGCAAACACCAAAUCAUACCCGUCAAACUCGUACCCUAUCCUGUCCUUGCGCACAAACUCGUUACCUAAAAGAUCCGUUCCGAACGAGUUCCAGGCUUUGACUUCUGCUUCGCUCGAGCCAGGGGCAGAGGAUGAUGGGGGCGUGGAGACGAAGAGAGUGAUGGAGAGACGGGAGGGUUGGAAGAUGUUGACGACGUUACGGAUAAGUGUUUGCAAGUCUGGUCUCUUGGCGAGAGCUCCCGAAGAAGGAGAUGAAGAAGAAGAAGAUGAGGAGAAUGGGAGAGGGACGUUGCACUCAAACGAAGCAUAUGACCAUCCUUCCUCUGGAGUCACAUGAAUCGUAAAGUACCCCCCUCCUUCCUUACCAUCCUUCCCUGAAACAGGCAGUCCACUCCCAAUCACCGCAUUUGCGCUAUACCCGCAUGGAUCAAACCCAAAUGAAUCCAAGUUCGUCUCUUCCUUUGAGAAAAGCGUAUCAAUCCCAAGCUUGUGGGAAAUGGCCUCACCGAGAACAUGGCCCGGGGUGGUGGCGGGGGAGGCCAAGGAGUCCGAGUCGUGGAAAAAGGGAGCGCGGGCCGAGGGGGAGAGGUGGGUCAUGAGGAUUUCGAGAGUGGUGUCUUGGUAUGUCACGGUAGAAGAGGAGGAGAAUGCGGGAGUGGAGAUGGACGAAGAAGAGGAUGGGGCAGGGAGAGAAAGGGUGGAAGGUUUGGGGUCGGACGGGAGGAUAGGUUGAGAGUUGGGAGUGGUGAGGUAUAAGAGCCAAUGAUCCCUGUUCAUAGGACCAACAGUAUACGCUGCGCCCGCCGUUCCUAUCAUUACCGCGUUAGUUAUCCGCAAAUCACAUUCUUUUUCAUAGUUGCACGUUCAUAUCACAACUGCACAUGAAGGAAAAUUGAGCUUUUGGAC
rnacentral:sRNA from 1 species